rnacentral:rRNA from 1 species
UACGUAGGGCGCAAGCGUUGUCCGGAAUUAUUGGGCGUAAAGAGCUCGUAGGCGGUCUGUUGCGUCUGCCGUGAAAACCCGAGGCUUAACCUCGGGCCUGCGGUGGAUACGGGCAGACUAGAGGUAGGGUAGGGGAGAACGGAAUUCCGGUGUAGCGGUGAAAUGCGCAGAUAGUCGGGAGGAACACCGGUGGCGAAGGCGGUUCUCUGGGCCUUACCUGACGCUGAGGAGCGAAAGCGUGGGGAGCGAACAGG